rnacentral:rRNA from 1 species
GACGAACGCUGGCGGCGUGCUUAACACAUGCAAGUCGAACGGUGAAGCUCCAGCUUGCUGGAGUGGAUCAGUGGCGAACGGGUGAGUAACACGUGAGCAACCUGCCCCUGACUCUGGAAUAAGCGCUGGAAACGGCGUCUAAUACUGGAUACGAGAAGGGUCCGCAUGGGCACUUUCUGGAAAGUUUUUCGGUUGGGGAUGGGCUCGCGGCCUAUCAGCUUGUUGGUGAGGUAAUGGCUCACCAAGGCGACGACGGGUAGCCGGCCUGAGAGGGCGACCGGCCACACUGGGACUGAGACACGGCCCAGACUCCUACGGGAGGCAGCAGUGGGGAAUAUUGCACAAUGGGCGAAAGCCUGAUGCAGCGACGCCGCGUGAGGGAUGACGGCCUUCGGGUUGUAAACCGCUUUCAGCAGGGAAGAAGCGAAAGUGACGGUACCUGCAGAAGAAGCACCGGCUAACUACGUG